UUCUUGCCUGCGGACGGCCGUGGCCAGAGGAGGAGGAGGAAGAGGAGGAGAGGCACGGUGAGAGAUGCCCGGAGGAACACUGCAUGGCCGCGGGCUGCGCGCUUUGCCCGCGGAGGACCGGCGCACAGCAUGGUUCACUUCAAGGUGAGCCAGAACCGGAGCGAGCUGACCCCCGGUGCAGCAGCGGAGCCCGGUCAGGAUGAAGCCGGCAUGGCAGCUGUAGUGGAGCACCGUCCCCUCCACCGGCGGCCCAGGAGGCUUCACCGCCACCCUGCCGUUCUCCAGAGAUGUCCAAACCCGUGGGCACAGCAGCACUGGAAACCACAGGAAACACGACAGAGAGGGAGGCAUAGGUGAAAGUUACACUCCCCACAUCGCUGAGGUCCCCGAGGUGCUCGAUGGAGUCAUAUUUCUCCAGGUCGGAAGCGAUGGUCUGCAGGCUGAAGACCGAGAGGGAAUCCGACCCAGCUCUCUCCCUCUCC